rnacentral:rRNA from 1 species
UACGUAGGGUGCGAGCGUUGUUCGGAAUCAUUGGGCGUAAAGCGCAUGUAGGCGGUUAGUUAAGUCUGAUGUGAAAUCCCGGGGCUCAACCCCGGAACUGCAUUGGAAACUGGCUAACUAGAGGAUGAGAGAGGAGAGUGGAAUUCCUGGUGUAGGGGUGAAAUCCGUAGAUAUCAGGAGGAACAUCGGAGGCGAAGGCGGCUCUCUGGCUCAUUUCUGACGCUGAGAUGCGAAAGCGUGGGGAGCAAACAGG